GCAGAAUGCAUCAUAUAUGUAAAGGGGUCAUUUUCUAUUUGUCUUCUUUUGCAAGCCACUGUGAAUCUCUUUGGAAAUUAGUUAUUCAAAAUUUGCACUAUAUUUUAACUUGUGGCCCAUUGAGGGAGAAGACAGAUGCAGUUCCUUUGUUCAAAUAUUUUUUUGCAAACAAACUUAUUUUUACAUCCUGUAACACUAGAACUGCCAAAAUAUACCCAUUUAGGGACUGCACAGACAAUUAACUGGGAGCCCUUUGCCCAGAACUGGUUUUUGCAUCUUCAGCAGAAAAGGUUCAUGUAACGGUGAUAGGGUGUCUAUCUGGAUAUUACACUCCUGUGAGCAGGACUUUUUCCUCCACUACUGCAAAAUGUCAUCGACAGAAAUAUCUUUUUUUAAAGUGAAGAAACCAAAACAUUAAUCCUACUUUUGCAAUCCUUCCAUCCUGUGUAACCUAACAAUGCUUUCUGUGUACACCAUGGUCUGAACAGAGACAGUGGAAAGAAUGAGACCAAGAUAAUUCUUUAACUUGUUCCACCACUGAAUUUCUGUAGGACCUCAGCAAAUCACUUCACCUCAGUGCACCUCCAGUUCCCUCCACAUACACAAGGCUUUGCUUCAUUUGUAGCAUGAACUCUUCAAGGACAGACAACAAUUUUUGACAUAUUUUUUUAGUACUCACUGUAACCCUGUAUUUGGUAAACACCAAAUUAAUACCGAUUUUUUUCUUAUACAGUCAUAGAAUUAUGUGUUUUGGAAGAGACCCUACAGGUCAUUUAGCCCAACCACCAGUUCAGAGUAGGUCCCAAUAAAUCAGCCUACAGAGGGACUUGAGUUUUGUGUAUCUCCACAGAUGGAGUUUAAAAAACCCCACUGAGUCCCAGAUCCAGAGCAAUUAACCUCCUGGGGAAAAUUCUUCUCCUUGUAUCUAAUCAGAAUUUCCUGUUUUAACUUUUGUCGUUUGUCUCAGACCUCCAAGAAGACUCUGGCUUUGUCCUCUCUAUAUUCUUAAUGUUACUGGACACAGCACCCUUUGCCUUUUCUGUUUCUACUUGUACUUCAUGUUCUUCUGUUCUCUUACUAUCCCAGGGACUCCCCACUCACUCUGUUAAUGUCAUUGCCUUUCUCAUGUUGGGAAACCCAAAAAUGAACACAAUAUUCAAGAUUUGACAUUAAAAAUAAAUCAAUGGUCUCAAAAUCUCCUAAAGUUUUACUUGUAGGUUUUCCUCUCCUUAAGGGUAUUUGUCAUAAGUAGCCCCUACCUCAGUACAAAUGCUGUAACAGUAUGCCAAGAAUGAUGCUGUGCAUAUGUGUCUACCAUACCCAUAAAUAAACUCCUAAGAAUACAGCAACUCCUCAACAGUAAGAUAGAUGAAACAUAAUAAUUAAGGCUUUUUGGGAGAAGGGAAAAGCUGCAGGUAUCAAACAAUGGUUUUAUAUGCAGCUUCUUGUUUCUGCCAACUUGAAAAAAACAUCUCUAGACAGCCAUAGCAGAUAAAAUGCUCCUGAAGGCUGGUAACCCAAAAUUAAGGGGAGUUGACAGAUACUCAGAAAAGAAAUAUUUUUUCUUUAACCACAGAGUGCUAUCAUGUGCCAUCCAGACUUACAAAUAAUAACAGUUCAGACAAAAAUAUAACAUGGAAUGGCACUAGCAGACUGUGUGGAGCCACAAAGGGAUCUAUGCUGAGAUUUGCAACACUUAGACUUCUCCCUAGGACUUAUAAAUUUAUUUAAAUGUUUCUCACUGAACACACCUAGGAUUUAAGUCUUAAGAUUUAAGGUUUAAGAAAACUAUCGAGCAACUCAGCACUGAACUUGCAGCCAAAAGAUCUGCAAAGUAGGCAAUCCCUUAACUUCACUUCAGGGCCACAUGUGGUAGUACUCUGCAGAUGUAUGUGCCACACUAGGCUUUGCACAAUAUUAACCUGGGGGAAUGGUGCCAUUUCCCACUUUUACUCAACAGUCAGGUGGGUUAGAGGACUUGUCUGAACUGGAGGGAGUCCAGAUUUAAGGUAAGCACUUUUCACUGCAUGGCUGUCUUUGUAAAUUAAGACAAAUCUUUUGUGCAUGGCCACAUGUAAAUGUUUAGAGGUCUGUGAUAUUUUCUGAAUGAAAGUUGGGUACUGCAGAAUUACCAAGUGAGAGCAAAUUGGGUCUUUAAGAGUAGAAGGGAUUAGAAGCUUUGGAGCAUAAAUUCUCUUGUGAAUCUAGUACCAGGUGCUAAUAUUUAGGUAAACAUUACCAUCCUGAAUACAGAAAUGAGAUAUUAAAAAUAUAAAAUAUAAAAAAUAAUUUAAAAAAAAUAGUUUGAAAUAUUCCUAGCUCCUGGUUCAACUCACCAAAAUCUAUCAACCAAAAAUUCUACAUAGGUAUAGCCCCACCCCCAGUGAUGGGACUUCUCUGCAGUUAAAGUUAAACCAUACCAUGUGUGUGAAUAUUUGCACUAGGGGAGUCAAAAAAACAGAGGUAUUUUCACCUUAUAGAUAUUUUCCUAGUUUUAUUUAGCUUAUGAAACAUUAAUUGCUGGAAUCAGAAAGCAAAAUUAUUUUAAACUGAUGGACAUGAUGAAAAGCAAUGCCUUUGUGUAUUAGCCUGAUAUGUCUGUUGGAGAGCGAUUUGACAUCAACAGCAACUUCAUACGUUUAGUAAAGUUUGCACAGCCAAUUUUCAGUUUAUAAAGCGUGGCAUUGUUCUGGAGUAUACCCUGACGUGGAAGGGUAUUAUGAAGAAUGCACAAGGUAGUACUGACUUUAUGAAGUCCACUUUGAAGACAAGUAUCAAAUUAAAAAUAAAAAGUGAGCACAGUCUUUGAUAUGUGACUUGGAAACUCAUGCCGAUUUGCUCCCUGAAAGCAGCCAUUUCAAUGAUGCCAUGGGGUUUCACUCAAAUCACAAGACUUGAGCCUAUUUUACUAGAUCGUGAGAUUAUUUUAAUAAUAAGGUGUUCAGAACACUAAGCAAAUUCUAAUUCCAUCAGAAAACAAUUAAAGAAACUGGAAAAUGGCAUGACAGGUAAGUUCAGAUACAAAAUACUAGAGAAAUUUCAUCCACAUAGUCAUGUGCACUCACUCAGUACAGAUCUUUGCAUAAUAAGCUGUAGGAUAUGAACCAGCUAGAAAAAAGAAAAAAGUGGAAAAACUGUUCUGUGAGUUUCUCCUGCAGACCUCCCUCCUCUGACACAAAUGAUAAAUUUCUCUUGAAAACCAGCCACUCAUUAUGGGAAAACUGAUUAUUUGCAGAAGGAAGGUUAAUAUGGCACAGCAGAGGAAACCUAUCCCAGGUGUAAGCACUGAUUAGAUUAAAGCCAUGGAACUUCUAGGUCUUCCUCUUAUUCCUAAAUUUAAUUCUUUAUAACAACACAAGUUCAUAUGGACAGGAGAAGCAGAACAGAGAAAAACAGGGUGUGUGAAGAUCCCACCUUAUAUCAGCCAAGAUCCUCCCAGUUGCUCCCAGAGGUGGUAAGAGAACUGAGCCUAUUGUUGAGAUGGGCAUCUUGUAAGAAGCAUUCCCGGUGAGACAAGUAACAACCACAAAAGAACUGAAAUAUCCAAAAAUCUUAGACAAUCAGUCUAUCUUCAGGUCCUGGAGAACGCAAGAAGACAACUUCACUGCAGCCAUAAACAAGGCAUCUGGAGAGGUUAACUUACUUAAAUCAAUUCUAAACAAGAGCAAAAAGGAGAAAAAAAAAAAAAGUAAACUCAUUCCAGGAAUAGGAAGAGAAUGUUCUCCCUCAUCUCCCAAGACAAUAAGCAAAUAUGACCCCAAGUAUGAAGCAGCUUCAUUUUUUACUUGGAUCUUUAAAACCAAAGGCCAGCUAUAAAUAUUUUCUUAAUCAAUCUAAAAUCCCAAACACCAGCUAGGACAUGGCCUAUUCCAUUUCUUCCCACAGCUUUCAUUAAGGUUUUUACACAAUACAGCCUCCAAAUGAGCCAACUGCUUUGAUUUCAAGGAGCACAGGCUGUAAACAGUGUACAGUUACUCUUUGCAAACCCACCUCUAGCAUCCUCAAGGAAGCGUGAAAGUUCUCUAGAUACUUGCAAAAGACAAUUGCACAACACUUUAUGUUCAGUAAUAAUUUUGUUAUUGGGUUCAGAUGAUAAAGUGGAUACAGAUGUUCAUUAUCAAGACAAGCAUUUGUAAACAAGGAAGGAAUCCAAGAAGCUGCUAACGACUGAAAAGUCCAAGGCUGACCAUCAUAUUUUGCCGAGUCACAGAUGUCUAUCUUUAAACCUAAAAAAUAAAUCUGCCCUCUCUACAAUCAGUAGGAGUACAAACUGGAUUUUUGUCAUCAUACCCACCCUUAAAGCAUAAAGGCCAUUUUACACAUGGCAUAUUUAAACCUCAUUGGCCUAAAUGUGCGGAAAAGCCUGCCAAUUUCCAGCUGACCAGGACUUGCUCCUGCAAAUCUUUCCCUGUGGUCUCCCUGCCACACCUUUCCCCCAGAAGCUCCACUGGCUGUGAGGUAGAGACUCGUAGCCUGGUUUUGCUGAUCUUAAUUCUGGUGACAAUAGGUAAUAAAACAGACCCCUCCUGGGGCCUUUUCCAGGGGUAUUUUCUCUCCCAGUUUCCCAAUGAAGGAGAAAAACACAAAGAAGAUCAACUGCAGGGAGUCUCAGCUUCUGCUCAUCACGUCAAACAUCCCAGACUCUAUCCUCAUCCUCUGGAGGGAAUCAUUCACAUGCAGAUUAACCAAAAGGAUUAUCACACAACUGGAUUAUCCACACAGACAGGACAGCUCAGUCAAGUAGUAAAACGACACCUUUAUGUGUUUCCUGCCUUUUAACCUCUAGGUUUCUGGACUCCUGGUACUCAUCCCUUUAAGCACCACCAUAUUUCAGGAGCUGCUGAAUACACAAUGGAAGAAGAUUCGUCGGUGGCUGAUCUGGCAUGUCUGAGUCAUUUCUCAUCAGCCACAAGAUGUCAGUGUUGCUGAAUGUUAUUAUUCUCACCUGCAAAGAAGCAUCUCUAUAUGUUGCUCAAGGUGGCUGUCGACAUUAGGCUUUGCGCAGCAAGCUUAACAAAAUAACUGAGAAAUAACACACGGUCAAGGAAAAUAAAAAGCUGCAUAACAAAAUGAAGUGUAUUAUUAAUGAACUGUAAGAAGUAAAACUUGAAGUACGUGGGUAUUGCUGCCACCUUCUAAAGUGAAAAUCCCUGUAUCUUUUCACAAGUCCCAAAGCAGCUCAUGAAAAUGUUGAGCUUGGCAGAUGGCUCUUGCAUAACGACAUCACUUUGAAUGGAGCAACUGGAGAUGACACCAGAGCUGUUUCAUCAGGAAGAAAUUAGUCCAUCCAACCAGAAAUGAGGCUGUCCAGGAACUCUGGCUCUACCAACUCUCACUAAAUAUGAUAAAUGAAAUCAAAGAACGUGCUAAUGGACUGUCUUCCCUUUUUUAUUCCUAGUAUAUCAGGCUUUGGCAGAAAGCUCUGCCCAUGUAGGUCCACCGUGGAGUCCUUUCUGUGUCCAGACUUAUUUCUUCUCAGUAUCACUUCCCCAGUUGUAUCAGUACAUGUUUUUGCAAGGUCAAACUACAAAUCAGAUGAUUGGACUAUGUGGUUUUAAAACACUCUUUCCUUUUCCCAAGCCUUACUAAAAGUCCAAGGUCAGGCAGAGGGGGAACUUCUGAAGUGAUAUUGUUGUGGACUUGGAGUAUUGUGAAACUGCACCUCGGAUUUCCUCUGCAGACUGAAUGACCUGCCUGUUGAUUAUUUUUCUGCUUCCUUCUUGGUUGCAGGAGAUUUGCUUCACCAGCCACUGACUUGACUUCCACUUCUAAGUAUAGCAAAGCACUGGUACUAUUAGCAUGAGAAUUCCUGUUUACAUUAUUUGCUUCCAUUCAUGUCCUCUGAGCUUGUUUACUUUCAAAACCACAGGAAGCAGGAAUUUGGUGGGAGUAGAGACAGAACUGUUUAGCAUGGAAAAAAAUAAUUAAAAAAAAAAAUGAAUAGAGAUGGAUGAAUUUAUACACACAUGUAGUUAUAAAAAUAUACAAUGGAAACAUGGUUAUUUGGGUUGGGAAGUUAAGUAGACAGUUCAAUACAUUUCAUCCAUCUAUAACUUCAUUUAGAAAAUAUGAAUAUGUUUCCUAAUGUCAAAUCCAAGUAGUUCCAUUAAAGGAGAUAUAUUGAAGGGAGGGAAAUAUUUUUACAUGAUUCUUGCAACCUUCCAUACCCCUCCAUUUUUCCACAAAACACAAUGCAUUCUUUGAAAAAUGCUACAAAGCAACAACAAUAAACUUCAGGGAAAGUCCUUCCUGCUUCCAAAUUUUCCACUUGUGCUGAACUUCUAAACUAAGAAAAUCCAUUCCCCAUUUAGCAAAAAUUGUUCUCAGUAAAGGCAACUUCUGAUGGGUCCUCCCUGUUCCAUUAAGCAGUCUGUUUGUAGCAAAAUCCUAUUUUUAACUCUGCCUCAUCUUUGCAUUAUGUUGAAAGCACCAUCUUCUCUGCCUGGGCUGAGGUUCUGUUUGCUGGCCUCAUCCUGCCUCCCCUGCUAGCACCAGCAGGCCCAGGCAUGCCAAUAUUCACAGGUCUGCAGUAGUUGGCAUGCCCAGGCACUGUGCACACGCGCAGGCUGACUCCGCACUGCGUGCACAGUGACCAUUUGUCUGAGCUUUCCAGCUGCCUGGAAAUCUGGUAGAUUAAUGCCCAAAGUGGUAGAGUUGGCAGGAGCACAGUGGAGAGAUUCUCAGAAAAGCCUGACAGUUUCUGUUGAAGUAGCUAGCCUCAAUAAAAAGUUGCAUUUUCCAGGGUCGUCUCAGGAUGAGGAUGACUUUGAUUUUUUAAUAUUUUUUUUCCUGGGGUCCCACUCAGUUAAGGAUAUUUUCACACAAAUUCUAAAAUUUCCAAGCUAUUUACCAAAACUACAUAGGCUUGCUGAGCAAACUACAAACCCUUGGGGAGACGGAUGUUAGUUUUUAAUACAAUUCCUGGAAAAAAUUAAAGAGGUGACUGAAGCAGGGUUAUUCGAUCCAACUCAUACGUAUACAGUGGGCUAACUUAGCUAAACAAAUUAUUGUGCUUCAAAUAACUAGAGCAGUCUAAGAGGUAAAGGUUGGGACGGAAUGGGAAAAGAUUUCAUCAGCCCAAAAUUAAUAGAGACAGGGAUGGAAAUACAAGACUUAAAAACCAGAGAGCAAGAGGAGUAUCUAAUUUCAGGUACUCCAGUGUAAGGGUGAAACAGCUUCAUUUAUGUGCUUUCUGGCUGAAGUGAGCUCUGGCACCAGAGCCCUGCCCUAAGGGUAUGGCUUUUUCACCUGCUUUUUUGCCUUCCACCCCCCUGACUAGUCAGGGAUUUUACUGGUGGGAGGUAGGAUGAGGAACAGUCCUAUGGCACUUUUUAGAUAUAUUUUAUUUUUUUUGAGUGGGGACUCAGGGAAAGAAAAAUGCAGUUCUUAUUUUAAAUUAUAAAAGGGCAAACUUCAACUGUAUUGCUUAAUUUAGUUUCACAUGCAAUAACCUUUCAAA